GGCUAUUGCUCUCAAAGCACAACACCACCUUUAAACCUGCAGAGUUUAAAGGUGGCGUUGUGUCAUUAACUAUGUUUCAGUUUUAACUGAAGUCGAGUUGAAUCCUUUUAUUUUGAAAGCAGUGGAGACAGAGCAGAGCACAAAGACAAAAUAAAAGCAUUGGGUGGCGUGGUCCUCUGUGAAGCCACAAUGACCUGAGCGUUCGGGAUCUGAGUCGGAAACAUUGUUAUGUAAGGUUACCUGGACAGAUGAGAAGCAGCUGCUUCACCUGGGAGCAAUAACUCCAUGAUGACAUCAGAAGCUGCAGACAGAUGCAUCAUGGGAAUGCUCGCCUGCUCCCUGCUGACAGAGCUCCCAACAAUUCAUUAAAAUGUCAGAUGAACCAAUCACAAAUCCAUCUCCGCUACCCAUCAUCUUCUUUGUUUCCUUUUUCUCCUUAGUCCCAUUCAUCUCUUAUUUAAUCCUUAAUUACCUCUUUUCUUUUCUUUAUCACUUUAGCUUGCUUUCCCCUUCAUUAUUCCUUCCUUUCCUUUUUUUGUGUUGCCCUAUUAUUUUUUCUUUCACUAUUUCCUCCUUUCUUUAUCUUUUCUAUCCUGUACUUAUUUCCUUCCAUCUCCUUUACUGUCAUUCCCUUUCCUCUUUUCAUUUCCUUUCAUCAUUUUAUUAUUUAUUUUCCUUUCCUCAUUACCUUUCCUUUUCCUAUUCCCCUUCUUACUAUCUUUGCCUUUUCUACAUUGCUUUUUCUCUUUUAUGCCCCUCUGCAGGAUUCCAGAAGCUGACUAAAAUGAAAAUGGAAAAAAAAAAACGAUUUAAGGGCGAUGCAGUAAAGCAGCUUGUUUCAAGGCCCAGGAUAAUAUAAAAAGUGAUUAUUUUGAGCUGUGACUGAUGCAAAGCUGUGAGACUCCAAUAUUAAUACAGGGUGGGCCAUAUGGCUUAUAUGGCCCGAGCAUUCCUAGAUGAACAGUUUCCUGGAAAGUGGAUUGGUCAUCGUGGGCCAGUUGAAUGGCCCCCAAGGUCUCCCGAUCUGACCCCCUUAGACUUUUAUCUUUGGGGUCAUCUGAAGGCAAUUGUCUA
ensembl:lncRNA